rnacentral:rRNA from 1 species
GACGAACGCUGGCGGCGUGCUUAACACAUGCAAGUCGAACGGAAAGGCCCUGCUCUUGUGGGGCGCUCGAGUGGCGAAGGGGGGAGUAACACGUGAGUAACCUGCCCCUGAAUGUGGGAUAACAUCAGGAAACUCGGGCGAUUAUCGGAUAGGAUCUCCUGCUGCGUGGGGGGGGUUGGAAAGAUUCGGCCGUUCGGGCUGGACUGGCGGCUUAUCAGCUUGUUGGGCGGGUAGUGGCGUACCAAGGCUUUGACGGGUAGCCGGCCUGAGAGGGUGACCGGCCACCUUGGGACUGCGAUAGGGACCAGAAUCCUACCGGAGGCAGCAGUGGAGAAUAUUGCGCAAUGGGCGGGAGCCUGAUACGGAAGCGCCGCGUGCGGGAUGACGGGCUUCGGGUUGUGAACAGCUUUCGCCUUUGAUGAAGCGUGAGUGACGGUACUGGGUAAAAAAGCCCCGGCUAACUACGUG